GGGGGCGAACAGGGUUCGACGGGGAUAGUUGAGACCACAGUGGCAGGCCGAGCAACCCAUUGACUCGUUAAUCCAAGGGACAAAACUGAAAAGCAGACUCCUACGAGUACGCUCUGGCUGCUUGAGCCAGCGUCUCCGGUUUAACGUGGCCCGCGGUGGGCCGGAGGCGUAGUUAAACGGGCUGGACGCCAUGGGGUUUCUAACCGACCCUGGCGGCGAGAAAAUUUGGUUGGAUAGCCUCAAAGAAGCCCGUUUAUCGGCGUCCGCGAGGCGAAAACUCAAACGGUAAACUAAGCCUGUAGAAGCUUUGGGGGAAGAUCUUCGGACGCGGGUUCAAUUCCCGCCGCCUCCACCA
rnacentral:tmRNA from 1 species